CCUACGGGUGGCAGCAGUGGGGAAUUUUGGACAAUGGGGGAAACCCUGAUCCAGCAAUGCCGCGUGUGUGAAGAAGGCCUUCGGGUUGUAAAGCACUUUUGUCCGGAAAGCGGUACCGGAAGAAUAAGCACCGGCUAACUACGUGCCAGCAGCCGCGGUAAUACGUAGGGUGCAAGCGUUAAUCGGAAUUACUGGGCGUAAAGCGUGCGCAGGCGGUUCGCUAAGACAGAUGUGAAAUCCCCGGGCUUAACCUGGGAACUGCAUUUGUGACUGGCGGGCUAGAGUAUGGCAGAGGGGGGUAGAAUUCCACGUGUAGCAGUGAAAUGCGUAGAGAUGUGGAGGAAUACCGAUGGCGAAGGCAGCCCCCUGGCCAUACUGACGCUCAUGCACGAAAGCGUGGGGAGCAAACAGGAUUAGAUACCCGAGUAGUC
rnacentral:rRNA from 1 species